GAUGAACGCUAGCUACAGGCUUAACACAUGCAAGUCGAGGGGCAGCAUGAUUGAAUCUUGCUUCAAUCGAUGGCGACAGGCGCACGGGUGAGUAACACGUAUUCAACCCGCCGAUAACUCGGGGCUAGGCUUUCGAAAGAAAGAUUAAUACCCGACUGUACAUUAUUUCCGCAUGGUUUCACUAUUAAAGAACUUCGGUUAUCGAUGGGGAUGCCUUCCAUUAUGUGGUUGGCGGGGUAACGGCCCACCAAGUCAACGAUGGAGAGGGGUUCUGAGGGGAGGGUCCCCCACAAUGGAACUGAGGCACGGUCCAAACUCCUACGGGAGGCAGCAGUGGGGAAUAUUGGUCAAUGGACGAGAGUCUGAUCCAGCCAAGUAGCGUGAAGGAGGACUGCCCUAUGGGUUGUAAGCUUCUUUUAUACGGGAAGAAAGUGGGGUAUGCAUACUGCUUUGUAUGUACCGGAUGAAUAAGGAUCGGCUAACUCCGUG
rnacentral:rRNA from 1 species